CACGUAGGGCGCGAGCGUUGUCCGGAAUUAUUGGGCGUAAAGAGCUCGUAGGCGGUCUGUCGCGUCGGCUGUGAAAACUCGGGGCUCAACUCCGAGCUUGCAGUCGAUACGGGCAGGCUAGAGUUCGGCAGGGGAGACUGGAAUUCCUGGUGUAGCGGUGAAAUGCGCAGAUAUCAGGAGGAACACCGGUGGCGAAGGCGGGUCUCUGGGCCGAUACUGACGCUGAGGAGCGAAAGCGUGGGGAGCGAACAGG
rnacentral:rRNA from 1 species